rnacentral:rRNA from 1 species
CUAGUAACGGCGAGUGAAGCGGCAACAGCUCAAAUUUGAAAUCUGGCCUCCCUUGGGGGUCCGAGUUGUAAUUUGCAGAGGGUGCUUUGGCGUCGGCAGCGGUCUAAGUUCCUUGGAACAGGACAUCACAGAGGGUGAGAAUCCCGUACGUGGUCGCCUGCCUUCGCCGUGUAAAGCCCCUUCGACGAGUCGAGUUGUUUGGGAAUGCAGCUCUAAAUGGGAGGUAAAUUUCUUCUAAAGCUAAAUACCGGCCAGAGACCGAUAGCGCACAAGUAGAGUGAUCGAAAGAUGAAAAGCACUUUGGAAAGAGAGUCAAACAGCACGUGAAAUUGUUGAAAGGGAAGCGCUUGCAGCCAGACUUGCUCGUAGUUGCUCAUCCGGGUCCGCCCGGAGCACUCUUCUGCGAGCAGGCCAGCAUCAGUUUGGGCGACCGGAUAAAGGCCUCUGUCAUGUACCUUCCCUCGGGAAGGCCUUAUAGGGGAGGCGUAAUGCGGCCAGCCCGGACUGAGGUCCGCGCAUCUGCUAGGAUGCUGGCGUAAUGGCUGUAAGCGGCCCGUCUUGAAACACGGACCAAGGAGUCUAACAUCUAUGCGAGUGUUUGGGUGUCAAGCCCGGGCGCGUAAUGAAAGUGAACGGAGGUGGGAACCCUCUCCGGGGGGUGCACCAUCGACCGAUCCUGAUGUCUUCGGAUGGAUUUGAGUAAGAGCAUAGCUGUUGGGACCCGAAAGAUGGUGAACUAUGCUUGAAUAGGGUGAAGCCAGAGGAAACUCUGGUGGAGGCUCGCAGCGGUUCUGACGUGCAAAUCGAUCGUCAAA